UGCUUUAGUUUCCCAGGAUAUACUAGGAUUGAAAUUUCAAAAAAAAUGGUGCUUUCUUGGGAUUUUCUUGCAACUAAAAGCUGGCUUUUUGGAUAUUCUAUAAUUUCUAUUAUAGUAGAGAUUUCAUUUCAUGGUGGUUUUUGCGGUAUCAUCUUGGGAAACCUACAAGAUGAUUUGCAUCUUAGAAGAAAUCUCUUGAUAGCACUUUUCGGAACCCAAAUCGAAGGUAUGUUGAAUUGUUUUUUAUAAUAAAUAUAGAUGUUAUCAUUUUCAUAGACAAGGGUCUCUUAUUGAAAGAAAAAGAUUAGUUUGAUGAUUUUGAUACCGUUCUUUGUAUAUAUAGGUGGUUAUUGAAUAAGUCUUUGUAUGUGAUAUAAGAUAUCACUAAACCACUGUUUUGAGUUGUUUUUCUCAUAAUGUUGGACAGUAGUUGGAUCUUUAGGUCUAUUUAGUGCAUUUGACAGUUUGAGUACAAUUUUGAUAUCCAUAGUUUUUACCAUUAGAUUUCUGUUUCUGGUUCUAGUGACAACAUGAUUUCGAAACGUAAAAUAUUAUCCCAUUGAGCAUCUCGAUAUGUUAUGGAGUUCAUCGUUUCACAUAUAUCAGAUUGUAUGUCAUCUUCCCAUUGUUGACUUCAUUGAUCUCACUGUACCGACCACUCAAUCAUGUUUGAGCCUUGAUUUUUCACUGACACAAUUCCAUUUGUUCUUUUUCCAUGAGUGAGGGCAUUGUCUUAAUGUUGAAAGAAUGUUUGGACCCUUUGGUUCAAAUGGCGGUGAGUAGAAGAAACUUGCAAAAUAUGGCCACGCUGGCCUAACACAAGACGCUGGAGGCCUACAAGAUCUCUUGAUAGCAUUUUUCGGAACUCAAAUCGGGAAGG